UAUAAAAGUACUGCAGAAGGGCUUUGUCAUCUUCAAGUGCUUCUUCCAAGUCCUGCAAGUGCUCUUGAUAUAUAUCUACGCUGUGAUAAGGACUCCUAGCAAUCUCAAAAGUAGGAACCGAGUAUCCGGCGAAAACAUCAAGCCCUUAAAAUCUACAGAAGUGUUAAGAAAGGGAUUCACGUUACACCAUUGUGGAACACGUGUGGAAAUUUGGGCACCUUGCAACCAUGGGGAUUCACACGACACCACCUG